GGCAGCCGGCAUGGGUUUUUCCUGACUCCGCACCUUCAAGGACCCCUCCUUGCGCUCCUGAAUUCGAUUCCCCCGUUGAAUUGGCCCGCUGGAGGACCCAAGUUUGAGAGGAAGUUUGAUUCCAUUCUUCGAUUAGUCGCCGGCUGGAGCGCUGGCUCUCCUAAGGAGAUUCGCCUUAGAUUGCUCUGAUCGGUCGGUCGCCCUUGUCACUGAAAGUACCCUGUUUGUUUUACUUAUGAGGAUGAUGACACUGAUGCUGUGUUAGCUGAUAAUGAUGCCACUAGCCAACUUGCUAUUGCAACUAAUGAUAUGUACAAGUUUUGUUGCAGCACCAAAGCCAAAGAAAGUAGCAUCACUCACAGUUACAAAUGAAUUGGUUCUUUGUGUUGUGAAUUGUGAUUUGAAGGAAGAGAAUGAAUUAGAGCAAAGAAGCAUAGGAAUGAAGAUAGUACAAUGGAAUGAAGUAUCUCAAGGAAGAUCAUGAAGCAUGACAUAAUAUAAAUUGAUUGAUUUUCCAUUCGAUGCAUUCUAGGAGGAAGUGAAUGAAUACUAAUUCAUGGUGAUGCCAUCAUGUGAAAGUGAUUAAAUGAUGACUACCAAAAAUUUGCCUUGCCAAUAGGAAUGUAUUUUACAGUCA